rnacentral:lncRNA from 1 species
AAAAUUGUGAAAAACAAAAAAAAAUUACGACAGCCAAGGAAAAUGGGAACUCAUCUUCUCCAAGGUUUAACAUGAAGAGCUCUGACCAACAACCGCCGGAGAGAUCGAAAUCCAGCUUCCCAAUGUCGCAUCUCCUCCAUUUCACCUGCUACCAGCUUUCUCCAAGGUAAGUCUCUAACCUUUUACUCAUCUUCGCCAUCUGGAGAUCAUAAUCUAUGGAGAUCGCCCCUCAAUCUGAGAAGAGCAUCUCUUGGGUGCCAUUUUUUAUUUUUGUGCUGCUGUAAAAUGCUUCAGGUAAGACUUGAUAAACAUUGAAUUAGAGUUCUUUUUCUCUAGUCUAAUCUUUGAUGGGUUGAAUCCCACAAAGAGAUUAAUACCACCAUCUAAAUUUUAGACCUUUGAAUAAAACAACUAACUCCAUUUUGGUUAUAUGAUUUAUGUGCCUGCAAAACCUUUUGGAGAGAUUGGAUAUGUUGAGGAAGCAAAUAGGAGCUAUCAACAAUCGAAUACACCACUAACAACUUUCGAGUCUUGGUUUUGUAUCACUUCAGACACCUCUAUGCUCUCACCAGGUGCAUGAUACUGUUAACCAACCGAAAUAGCUUCAGACUUAAAAGUUUGCUAUAGUUGUGCUUCAAUUGUGAACUCUUGUGCUUCUUAUCAAAUACUUGUAUAUCUGACUAUUAUUUGAUAUUUGUGACUGGUGAGAAUCUAAUUAGAACUCGGAAAGUCUGUCUGCUUGAUCCUUAAGUAUGGAGUGUUACAUUUGUCAAAAUUUAUUAUCUUCUUGGCUGCUGUUGGGACUUCCUGAAAAGAAUUGAACUCAUAAGUACCUGCAUUAACAGAAACUAGGUUAGCAAAAAAAUCAGCAAGAGUAUUUCCCUCCCUGAAGGAGUGUUGUACUCUUACUGAAAUAAUAUUUCAGAUUCUAUUAAUGGAGUUGACCUCCAUUGUCACACUCAAGGGUGAAUCCCACUCUCCAUUAAGAAUAUUAAUCAUCGACAAUGAAUUAGUCUCAAUAACUAUUUGAUGAAAAUGUUUAUCUAAGCAGUAUUGCAGACCCUCUCUAAUAGCAGUUGCCUCAGCCACCAAGUUAUAAGAAUCAGUCAACUUCACACCCUUUGCCCCUACUAGAUUACCAUUAUGAUCUAUCUCACAGAAAGAAGCUGAACUAGGACCAGGUUUACCCUUAGAAGCCCCAUCAGUGUUACAUUUUACCAAUCCCGCAGGAGGAGGAGACCAUCGGACAAUUGUGUGACGGAAACUUGGCCUAUAGUUAUCAAGUUGAGCAACUAUCUGAGGCCAAGUUUGUGGACUAUUCAUAACCCAAUUAAACCUCAAUUUGACUAACUUAUAAAUGUGAGAAUUAAUUUCCGAGAUGAUCUUGCCUCUAGAGUAAGAGCCUCCAUGUAAUACUGUGUUUCUCCUCUUCCAAAGAACCCAUAAAAUGAGAAUUGGAAUGGCCUGAUACACCUAUUUUUGUGAGUCAUUUCCAUGAGUAUCCCACCAUUUUUUCAAUGUCUUCUUCACCUGUAUUAGAGGGCCUGCAAUCCCUGCUGCCCAAGUGUAGUACCUCACACACUAGAGGCCAAUGAACCUUGUAAGAAAAGGUGUUCAAUAGUUUCUCUAGUAGGAUCUGAGCAACAAGUACAACGUUGAGAAAUAUUAGGAUUCCAGGUAGCCAGGACUGGUGCGACGGGAACUUUAGCAGUCCAAACUCUCCAACCAAAGAAACUGAUCUUGAAAGGUAAGCCUUUCACCCAAAUAUGUUUAAAAGCGUCUUCAGGUGCUGCCCUGUUUCUUAUAAUUUCCCAGGCACUCUUCACAGUAAAUUUACCAGAACUAGUUCGUAGACACCAAGGGUUAUCCACCUGAUUAGAUUGCCUCACAUGACCCAUACAAAGCCUCACAUUUUCAACAACAUCAGGAGGUAAAAGAUCAUUCAUAGUGUCAUAAUCCCAACCAUUUUCACUCAAAAAAUAUCAAUGUUCGUUAAGGGACGACAACUUUGUAGUUUUUAUUGUUGAAGAAAUAAUGGACCAAGCUUGGUCCAAUUAUCAUACAAAUUACUAGAUGUACCUUCUUUAGGUUAACACCAUAGAUUGCUCUACUAUACCUCUCAUACUGAGAAUGUGUUUCCAUACCUAAGAACCACCGUUCCACUGCACAAGAGUUGGAAUUUGUUUCCUGCAAUAUUUGUUCCAAAAGAAAUUGGACCACAAGGAUAUUUGAGUCCUGAAUCUCCACCAAAGCUUUGAAUACAUGUCCUGUGAAACAUCAAAUAAUGACCUGAACCCAAAACCUCCUUCUAUCUUAGGGAGACAUACAUUAUCCCAAGAAGCCCAAAGCUUGCUCCUGCUAGAGUCCUUAUUUCCCCAAUUAUCAAUGUUUACAUUAUUCUUUGUAAAGAAUAUCUAUGGGCUGAUGCAAAAAUAAUAGUAUCACCGGCAUAAGAAAGAUGAUUCAAAUUUGCGCUCCACUUUGGUAAUCCAUAACCAACAUAUUUUCCAUCCUCAAAUAAAGAGUUUAAUGCCCUAGAUAAAACCUCAGCUGAAAUAAUGAACCAAGCAGGCGAUAGAGGAUCUCCGUACUUCACUCUUCUAGUUGAAUUAAAGAAACCAUGAGGUUGUCCAUUAAUCAAAAUAGAGUACCAAUUAUUGGAUAUCAGCCUCCAAAUCAAAUCUACAAAAUCAUUUGAGAAACCCAUCCUUCGUAUAACUUUCAUCAAGAAAAACCAGGACACCCUAUCAUAAGCCUUUGACAUAUCAAGCUUCAUCACCACAUUAGCUGGUUUCCCUCUCUUUCUAAUAUUUGUAACUAUAUCCUGAUUGAGAAGUACAUUCUCAAUGAUACUUCUGCCUUUAAAAAAACCUGAUUGAUUGCUGGAAAUCAAGUUAGGAAGAAGAGCUUCUCGUCUAUCAUGAACGAUUUUGGACAGGAUUUUAUUAAUAAAGUUACUCAAGCUAAUAGGUCUCAUGUCAGAGAAAGUUUGAAUAUGCUCUUUCUUUGGUAAGAGAACCAAAUUAGUACGAGUGAUGGACUUAGGUAGGGUGUCACCGCAAAAAAAGUCUUGAACCAUCUUUAAAAUGUCAGGACCAACGUUUUCCCAACAACUUUGAUAGAAUCUCCUUGUCAAACCAUCAAGACCACUAGCACUGUCCCUAUUUAACUUUAAAAAAAAAACUCUUUUGACUUUCUCUAAAUCUGGUUAUCUGCAUAGAUUUGAAUUAUUCUCAACACUGAUGCUUUCAAGUAUGUGCCUUCGUAGUGAAAGAUCUGUAACAUCUCUCUCUUGAGUGAAUUGAUUAUGAAAAAAAUCAAUGGCUUCUUUAGAGAUAUCUUGUUCCUCCUCUAACCAACUACCCUGGCUAUUUUGAAUCCUAUGCACAUGUAAUCUUUCUCUUCUUCCCCUUGCAAGACUAUGAAAGAAACUUGUAUUCCUAUCCCCAUACUCAAACUAAUCAUACCCAGCCUUCUGUUGCCAAAAGAUCUCUUCAUAGUGAAGAUAUCUUUUGUGCUCUGCUUGGGCCCUUUGCAUGACUAACCUAUUUUCAGGGGAUGGUAUCUCUCCAAAUAACUUUUCUUUGAUUUUGACUAUGUCCUCUCUAAUAAUAAGUUGAUUGAAUAUAUCUCCAUAUGCAUCCUUGCUCCAUUUUGAUAAAGCAAUUUAAAAUUCUUAAUCUUUUCCUUGAACUCCAAAAAAGGAUUUUGAGAACUUCCAAUCAGGUUUUGCCUAACUACCUCCUUGAAUGAUUCAUGAUCAGUCCAAAAUUUGAGAAACUUAAAAGUUUUCUAUGUCUGGUAGCAACAACUUCACAAGUAAGGAGCAUAGGGGCAUGAUCAGACCCACUUCUUGAUAAAUGUUCUACCUCCGUAUGAUUGUCUUAUCUUUGCAUAUCCUAAUUAAUAAGUGUUCUGUCUAAUCUUUCAAAAAUGCAAUCAUUACCAGCCCUUCCAUUCCACCAUGUAAAAGGACUCCCUUUGCAAUAAACUUAUGAUAGAUCACAAGUUGCGAUACAACAGUCAAAAUCUUCAUGAUCAACAUCUAAGACGGGUAGCCCACCUAUAUUUUCUUCCUCGUUUAAGACUAUAUUAAAAUCACCCCAAUCAACCAACGCUUGUCCAUACCAUCUGCAACUCGAUAUAGAUCUUCCCACAAGUUCAUUUUCUGCAUUGCAUCACACUUAGCAUAGACAAUCGUAACAUAAAAGCUCUGGAGUUGUUGUUCAUUAUCUUUGACAACAAUGAUGUCAAUAUCUUGAUUAGUAAAUAUCCAGAUCUUCCCAUUGCAAUUAGAAUUGGCUAGAGGCUUUUUCAAUCUUCUCAUGUAUUUAUUAAUAUAUCUAACAUGCUGAAAAGGUUCAAUUAGUGCAACAAAUGUAAAAUGGUGAAACUUAUGUAGCAUCUGAACCCUUUGAAAAGCCUGUUGUGACUUUACUGAUCUAAUAUUCCAAAUAAAGGCCUUCAUCAUUAAUAAGAUAUAACUUUAUUUCUCUUUGGCUGCACUCUGAUAGGUUGGGUACUCUCACCAAUAUCCUGCUUCUUUCCUUUUCUAGUUGUUUUCAUCACCCUUGGAGAUAAAUACCUUUCUCUAGAUAUAUGAUCUAAAAAAGUACCACUGUCAUCUGUCUCCUUUGCUGCUAUUGAUUGAUUUGCCUCUCCUAGACUAUUAGUCUCUUCUUCUCCUAAUUUAUGUGUGACCUGCAAAACUCUAUUAGGAGAAUCUAAAUUCAAAGCUAGGACCUGAGAUUCAUCUGUCUGCACCACUGUAGGGACUUCUACCACUGCUAAAUUAAAAUUAUGAGUAUGCUCAUCUUGAUUUUCCUCAUGUUGGUUGUUGUAGUUGUUAUCCGUCAUUAAAUUACUAUCGUUAGUAUGACCUUGUAAUUGAAGUUUGUAGUUGUCGCUGAAGUUGCUGAACUCUGUGCCUUUUAACCCCUUUAAUUCUCCAUUAAUAACAACCUUCAUAUAUUUUGAUGAAGCUAAAGAUUUCUGCACUUGUUUGCUAUUAGUUUCUGCCUUAUUUUCCAUAGUAGGACUCUUAUCUUCAUUAAUUAUGGGCUGCAACUGACCUGAUUGUGCAUCUGCAGGGACUUCAGCAACAUUUUGGAGAUCAAUUUCCUUGUCUGGUACAACCCUCUUAUCCAUAGAAGAUGAUCCAACAACUUCGACUUUACCAAAACAUUUAUUGAUCCAAUCUUUAGUAGUAAUUUGUUGUUGACUUUGCCCAUUCUUAACUUUGUUUUCAUUUUGUUGAACUGCAUCAUUGUUGGAUUCAUUUUUACUACAUAAAUUGUCAUUUGCUCGUUCUUGAUUAGGCAAUCCAGUGGCAGAUUCUUUGCUUAGUGCCUCAAAACUAUUCUCUCCCAUAUGCUUUUCAAGAUUCUCAGAGCUUUGGACUUUAUUUUUAAAAUGUUUUUUAUGCUGGACAACUUUCCAAUUUCCGAGAUCACCAACCACUUUACCACUAGAGAGAAUCUUAACUUUGCCUGUUUGUAACUUGUGUAUUCUAGUCUCUUGAACUCUAUCAUUGUGCUCAUCAAUCACUAUUUUCUCUGUCAUAUGCUUUGGUUUAUUCUGAUAUCUACACUCUUCCUUGCUAUGUGCUUGCAUCUUGCAGUCAUCACAGUAUUUAGGAACAUAAUCAUAUCUUAUCUGAAUGAAUUCUAAACGUAUCUCUCCGGUGCUUUCAUUUUCAAUAUCCAUUUGGACUGACUUGGGAAAUGAACUAUGCAGGUCUACCAUUACCUUUACUCUUGCACAACUUGGCCUAGUCUUACUGAUCGUUGCUAGGUCCAAUUGAACUUGAUUUCCAACUGCUAAUGCUAAAUAGAAGAGGUACUCCUUAACAAAGAAAGUGGGCAGAAGAUUGGGAAAAGAAAUCCAUGCCAUAGCUUUUGUUGUUUCUUCAUUGAUCUUAAAUCUAGUAUCAUAUAGUAGUGUACGCAUCAAGUAAGAAUACCCAUCUUUAAACGUGAUAUAGAAUGCUCCUUUUGAAACUAGAUCUAUAAAAUCUUUUUGGUGGUUGAGACGAAUACGGAUGUGUCGAUUGCGAAAUAAACCAAUCUGAAACCCUCUUUUCACAUCACAUUGUUGUGGUAUAAUCCUCCUUAAUUCGUAUAGAUCAGACAAUUCAUAGGUGAAUUUUUCAAUGACCGCAUAUGGAAGGUUUUCGAUUCUAUUUAUUCUAUCAACUUCUUCUUCCGUCCAUUUUACAUGUGGUGUGUUUCCCACCAUUGUAACUUGUUUACGAGGUAUUGGAUCAACUGGUCGCACUGUCUCCAUGGGAACUAUAGUAUUUGCAUAUAUUUUCUCAGUAGGUAAUUUGGGAUCAACAUGACAAGGAUUUGUAGCUGAAGGUGUUAUUAGCGGGGGGAAGUCUACUAAAGAGAAUUGAAGGCAUGUCACCGAUUGUGACUUGCCACCGGCCGAUGUGCCCAUGCCCUUAGGUUACACUGCCGUCAUGUUGUCAUCCAGACGUCAGCUGAAACAAAUGCUCUAGCCACUGAGCUACAAAUGCCAGAUUUCUAGGAAUAAGAAUUUGUGUGAGAGUGAGAUUUUUAGGGUUAAAGUAAUAUUAGGAUUGUCUUCUUUUUUUGAAAAAAGUUGGGUUUAAUAUAGGGUUAAAGUAUUAUGAUAUUUAGGAUUCGUUUUAGG